GCUUCCUGUCUUUUUUUAUUUCUCUCAUUUACCCAAAUCGUUCAUCUCUUUCUGCCAAAACCCUAGAACUCUGAUGGCCAUUUAAAACUCUCCAUUUUCCCAAAUCCCUUCACCACCUUCUUCUGAAAUUCUUAUUGGUUUCCAUGAGAGCCAUUAAGAGCCCACCUUCUCUCUAUAUAGCUCGAAUCGUUGAUGUUGGAGAAGAUUCCGAGUUGAGAGAUGGAAUAGAAGAUGGAAGCAAUCUAUUUGUUUUUGGAGAGGAACUUACGUAUCUUCAGUACGCCUAGAACUUAGGGACAAGGUUUCUUAAACGUGAUCGCAAGCGGCAUUGACCAAGGAGGAGAUUGAAGACACUUAAUAUUCUACUUUUUCUUUUUUAUCGUAUGUAUAUGCGUACAAUGAUAACGAACAAUGAAGUAUUGUGUAGUAUAUAUUUAACUAACUUUGUAUUCAUGAAAGUAUUUAUAAUAUUUGACUUUGAGAUAUGUUUU